GGUCCCCUGCCCCCGGCGUGCUCUCCCUGGCUGCUCUUUCUUUGCGUGAAAAUCCCUCCCCCAGCUCCGGCUUCUCUCCCAGCUUCUCCAGCCUCAGUCCCGCCGCAUUUCAGCUCUAGCUUAGCACCCCAAAUUCUGCCCCCUGCUCCGCCCCGCACCCAACAUUCUACCCUCGCUCCACCUCGCAUCCCACAUUCUACUCCCAACCUCAGCUUUGAACCCUAAAUUUCUCUUCCCAGCUCCACCUCUACACCCCAGCUUUCCUCUUGCCACAUCCCCAAGCCUCCACGAAGCUGGGGGGCCCUUUCUCCCACCCGUUCAUCAGCAGGAUGUACCCCCAGGGAAGGCACCCGACUCCAUUGCAGUCCGGCCAGCCUUUUAAGUUCUCAGUCCUAGAAAUCUGUGACCGAAUCAAAGAGGAAUUCCAGUUUCUCCAAGCUCAAUACCACAGCCUCAAGCUGGAGUGUGAAAAGCUGGCCAGCGAGAAGACAGAGAUGCAAAGGCAUUACGUGAUGUACUACGAGAUGUCUUAUGGCCUGAACAUUGAGAUGCAUAAACAGGCUGAGAUCGUGAAGCGGCUCAGUGCAAUCUGUGCCCAGAUGGUCCCGUUCCUCACACAGGAGCAUCAGCAGCAGGUUCUCCAGGCUGUGGACCGAGCCAAGCAGGUGACCGUGGGGGAACUGAACAGCCUCCUGGGGCAGCAGAAUCAGCUCCAGCCGCUGUCUCACGCCACCCCUGCACCUCUCACCCCACGCCCAGCUGGCUUGGUGGGCACUGGGGCUUCGGGGCUGCUGGCCCUGUCUGGGGCGCUGGCUGCGCAGGCCCAGCUGGCAGCUGCAGCCAAGGAAGAACGCGUGGGUGUGGACGCCGAGGGGUCCAGAGUGGACAGAGCUGCAAGCAGGAGUGCUUCCCCUUCGCCCCCUGAGAGUCUGGUGGAAGAGGAGAAUUCUAGCAGCCGAGGUGGCAAUGGGAAGCAGCAGAGAACAGAAGAUAAGGAUCUUUCGGGGCCUUAUGAAAGUGAUGAAGAGAAGAGUGACUAUAACUUGGUGGUGGAUGAGGACCAACCCUCAGAGCCACCCAGCCCUGCAACCACCCCCUGUGGAAAGACGCCCGUCUGCAUCCCUGCCCGCAGGGACCUCGCGGACAGCCCAGCCUCCUUGGCCUCCAGUUUGGGCUCACCAGUCCCCAGAAGCAAAGACCUAGCCCUGAAUGAUCUCCCCACAGGCACUCCUGCCUGUAGAUCAUGUGGUCCCUCUCCACCCCAGGACGCGUCCACCCCAGGACCCAGUUCUGCCGGUCACCUCUGUCAGUUGGUGGCUCAACCAGCACCAUCCACAGACAGCAUUGCCCUGAGGAGUCCCCUGACCCUGUCCAGCCCCUUCACCUCGUCCUUCAGCCUGGGCUCCCACAGCACCCUCAACGGGGACCUCUCCAUGCCCAGCUCCUACGUCAGCCUCCACCUGUCCCCCCAGGUCAGCAGCUCUGUCGUGUACGGACGCUCACCCCUGAUGGCAUUUGAGUCACACCCACAUCUCCGAGGCUCGUCCAUCUCCUUGCCUGGCAUCCCUGGGGCAAAGCCGGCCUACUCCUUCCACGUGUCUGCGGAUGGCCAGAUGCAGCCGGUGCCCUUUCCAUCGGAUGCGCUGGUGGGCACGGGCAUCCCUCGCCACGCGCGGCAGCUACACACACUGGCCCACGGUGAGGUGGUGUGUGCCGUCACGAUCAGCGGCUCCACACAGCACGUGUACACGGGUGGCAAAGGUUGCGUGAAGGUGUGGGACGUGGGCCAGCCGGGCAGCAAGACACCAGUGGCUCAGCUGGAUUGCCUGAACCGCGAUAACUACAUCCGCUCCUGCAAGCUGCUGCCAGACGGGCAGAGCCUGAUAGUGGGCGGCGAAGCCAGCACCCUGUCCAUCUGGGACCUGGCAGCACCCACACCACGAAUUAAGGCGGAACUGACCUCUUCCGCCCCGGCCUGCUAUGCACUGGCUGUCAGCCCCGACGCCAAAGUCUGCUUCUCCUGCUGCAGCGAUGGCAACAUCGUGGUCUGGGACCUGCAGAACCAGGCCAUGGUCAGGCAAUUCCAGGGCCAUACGGACGGGGCCAGCUGCAUAGACAUAUCGGACUAUGGGACCCGGCUGUGGACUGGGGGCCUGGAUAAUACAGUGCGCUGUUGGGACCUGCGGGAGGGCCGCCAGCUUCAGCAGCAUGACUUCAGUUCCCAGAUUUUCUCGCUGGGCCACUGUCCUAACCAGGACUGGCUGGCCGUGGGGAUGGAGAGCAGCCACGUGGAGGUCCUACACGUGCGCAAACCUGAGAAGUACCAGUUACGCCUGCAUGAGAGCUGCGUGUUGUCGCUCAAGUUCGCUUCCUGCGGACGCUGGUUUGUUAGUACAGGCAAGGACAACUUGCUCAAUGCCUGGAGGACACCCUAUGGGGCCAGCAUUUUCCAGGAGUGUGCUGGCCCUCAUCUAUAAUUCCAUCACUGAGGAGGCUGAGGCAGGAGAACUGUCAUGAAUUCUAGACCAGCCUGGGUAUAUAGUGAACUGGCCUCAGAAAGGAGUGGGGAGACCAAAGCCGGCCACAGUGACUCAAAACUGUCAUCCCAGCUACUCAGGAGGCUAAGGGGCUUCCGAAAUGGAUCAGCACUUCCGGAAGGUUCCUGUGGUGCAAAGAAAGAAGCUGACCCAGCUGGCUGGUGACUUACCCGCCAUGUCUGCAUCGGGGUCUCCUGCUCACCUGGGUCUCACAUUGGAGCUGGCUGAUGUCUUUUUGGGAAAUACCAAGCAGAUCCAAGGAAGUCUCACUCAGGAUAGGGGCUGUGUGAGACAGCAGAAUUUAGGGGGACCCAGCAACCUCUGCCCCUCCACGCCCCAGGCCCCGCCUUCCUACAGAAGUCACUCAGGCUGCCUCUGGGCUUGGGCUCAGACUCCGGUUCUUGUUCUGAGUCUCGCAGGCAGGAGUCUUUGUUUUCCUGGGAGACAGAAUUGGGUCAGCUAGGGGACACGUGACCCAGGGGAACCCAGCAGAUGCCUGGGGGUCCAGGGCUGCACCCAGCAGAGUGCAGGGAUGAAGUGGGAGGGGCACUGUAGGGCAGAUGUGUGUUGGGGGUCCCAGCCAAGGGUACUCACCAGUCCCAGCAGCUCCUCUGUCGGUCGCCAUGACAACAGGUGAGGAGGAAGAGAUGGAGAGCAAUGAGGUUUGCCUGGACACCCAAGACACCCCCCCCCCCCCGCCCCCUAGUGAGGGGCCCUCACCCUCCUGUGCCUGUUGGUUCUCUGGGUUUUCCCUGAAAAGUUUCCAGAGUUCCUGGGUCAGGGUAUCGCUCCAGAACUUGGGUUCCUUGUCCCACACAGGCUGUGGGUCCUGCUGCUCCUCAGUCUCUGAGAGGCACUGAUGUCGGGUGAACAGCUGAGGUCCCGGGGUGGCCUUGAGUUCCUCAGGGUCCUGGGGGGCCGUGGUCUCUGGGCCCUGCUUGGCUUCUUUCUCAGUCGAAAUCUGUACAGCCUGGAAGGACCCAUGGGACCUCGUGAGUCACAAGACAACACCGCCAACCAGUAUCUGUCCCCUCCAGCUCAAGGGCACACAUUCACCUUGAUCAUCUCCAGGAUGCGGGGGGACUUGAAGAUCCCCACCAGCUCGAAGAAGUUUUCCACCUAGACCCUUACCCAGGAAUUCCAGGGCACCUAGGACCCGGGCAGGAAGAUGAGCCACUGUGAGGCAUAAGCACUCUGAAUCAACUCCCUCCUGUCUCCAACCCUGGGUGGCUCCACCUCCCUGGAGUCAAAGACCCUGGAAUCCUAUCUCCACCCCGCCACCCCUGCUCUGGUCCCCAGCUCCAGUUCACCUGCUUGUGAUGCUCCUCGAAGGACUGAUUGAUUUUGGAUAUCUGAAAUCACAGCAGAUGAGGAGUAGGUCUGUGACCCCCCCGAGCAAACCCUUCACCUCUAUGAUCCCGUUCCUUUACUUUUGAGACAACAGAGGCCCAUGGAGCCCCAGCCUGGCCUUGAACUCACUACAGCAGAGGCAAACAAUCCUCCCGCCUGCCUCCACACUUCCCUGGGCUGGGAUGACUGGUCUGUGCUGUUUAGCUCUGCUUUUAAAUAAAAUAUUACUUACUACAUCC